rnacentral:rRNA from 1 species
GGGUUGUGAGGUUAAGCGACUAAGCGUACACGGUGGAUGCCCUGGCAGUCAGAGGCGAUGAAGGACGUGCUAAUCUGCGAAAAGCGUCGGUAAGGUGAUAUGAACCGUUAUAACCGGCGAUGUCCGAAUGGGGAAACCCAGUGCAAUUCGUUGCACUAUCGUUAACUGAAUACAUAGGUUAACGAGGCGAACCGGGGGAACUGAAACAUCUAAGUACCCCGAGGAAAAGAAAUCAACCGAGAUUCCCCCAGUAGCGGCGAGCGAACGGGGAGCAGCCCAGAGUCUGAAUCAGCUUGUGUGUUAGUGGAACGGUCUGGAAAGUCCGACGGUACAGGGUGAUAGUCCCGUACACCAAAAUGCACAGGUUGUGAACUCGAAGAGUAGGGCGGGACACGUGGUAUCCUGUCUGAAUAUGGGGGGACCAUCCUCCAAGGCUAAAUACUCCUGACUGACCGAUAGUGAACCAGUACCGUGAGGGAAAGGCGAAAAGAACCCCGGCGAGGGGAGUGAAAAAGAACCUGAAACCGUGUACGUACAAGCAGUGGGAGCACCUUCGGGUGUGACUGCGUACCUUUUGUAUAAUGGGUCAGCGACUUAUAUUCUGUAGCAAGGUUAACCGUAUAGGGGAGCCGCAGGGAAACCGAGUCUUAACUGGGCGUUAAGUUGCAGGGUAUAGACCCGAAACCCGGUGAUCUAGCCAUGGGCAGGUUGAAGGUUGGGUAACACUAACUGGAGGACCGAACCGACUAAUGUUGAAAAAUUAGCGGAUGACUUGUGGCUGGGGGUGAAAGGCCAAUCAAACCGGGAGAUAGCUGGUUCUCCCCGAAAGCUAUUUAGGUAGCGCCUCGUGAACUCAUCUUCGGGGGUAGAGCACUGUUUCGGCUAGGGGGUCAUCCCGACUUACCAACCCGAUGCAAACUACGAAUACCGAAGAAUGUUAUCACGGGAGACACACGGCGGGUGCUAACGUCCGUCGUGAAGAGGGAAACAACCCAGACCGCCAGCUAAGGUCCCAAAGUCAUGGUUAAGUGGGAAACGAUGUGGGAAGGCACAGACAGCCAGGAUGUUGGCUUAGAAGCAGCCAUCAUUUAAAGAAAGCGUAAUAGCUCACUGGUCGAGUCGGCCUGCGCGGAAGAUGUAACGGGGCUAAACCAUGCACCGAAGCUGCGGCAGCGACACUAUGUGUUGUUGGGUAGGGGAGCGUUCUGUAAGCCUGCGAAGGUGUGCUGUGAGGCAUGCUGGAGGUAUCAGAAGUGCGAAUGCUGACAUAAGUAACGAUAAAGCGGGUGAAAAGCCCGCUCGCCGGAAGACCAAGGGUUCCUGUCCAACGUUAAUCGGGGCA